GCAGGCCCAGGCAAACUGAGGUAAAGCGAUUCCUAUUGCGUCCCCUGCCCUCCGAAGGCAAAGGUCACACGUUCGAAUCGUGUCGGGUGCGCCA
rnacentral:tRNA from 1 species